rnacentral:rRNA from 1 species
UACGGGGGGGGUAAGCGUUGUUCGGAAUUACUGGGCGUAAAGGGCUCGUAGGCGGCCAACUAAGUCAGACGUGAAAUCCCUCAGCUUAACUGGGGAACUGCGUCUGAUACUGGAUGGCUUGGAUCCGGGAGAGGGAUGCGGAAUUCCAGGUGUAGCGGUGAAAUGCGUAGAUAUCUGGAGGAACACCGGUGGCGAAGGCGGCGUUCUGGACUGUCUCUGACACUGAAGAACGAAAGCCAGGGGAGCAAACGGG